rnacentral:rRNA from 1 species
UUUAUUUAAAGUCUGGUCUGCUCACUGAUAAAUUAAAGAGCCGCAGUAUUUUGACUGUGCGAAGGUAGCAUAAUAAUUAUUUCUUGAUUGGGAACUGGUAUGAAUGGUUGGACGAGAAAAGUUCUGUCUCUUUCUAAUUUUAUUGAAUUUUACUUUUAAGUUAAAAGGCUUAAAUUUUGUUAAAAGACGAGAAGACCCUAUAGAGUUUUAUUAUUUAAUUUUUAUUGAGUUUUGGUAAUAUAAUUCUUAAGAUGUAAAAUAAUUUGGUUGGGGUGAUUGGAAAAUUUAUUUAACUUUUCUUUUAUUUUUACAUUUAUUUAUGAUUGAUUGAUCCGUUAUUUACGAUUAUAAGAUUAAAUUACCUUAGGGAUAACAGCGUAAUUUUUCUUGAGAGUCUCUUAUCGAAAGAAGAGUUGCG